UUGAAAACAUUAAAUUGCAUUUGGUUUUGUGGAACGAAUUCGAAAUAAGAAUGAAUAGUGUAUAAUUGUAUAUUAAUAUACCUACUCAUUACAAUAAAAUCUCAACACCUAACCUAACCUUUUCGAUCGGGCUGAGUGAUGUGACAACAAUCUGACAGGUCAUUCUGAAAAACUAGAAGAUAAAUUUUCACUGUGGGAAGAUCACCACAAAUUAGUCCACAACAGUUGGAAAAUGGUGAAAUCUGACGAUUUUAUUCCUGAUGAACUAUCAAUUUACUUGGCAAGUUUACGACUACAGAUUGUUCAAACUCAUAACUGCUUAGAUAAUCAUCAGACGAAUCUGUCUCAGAAAGUAUUCAACAUUUAUAAUGUUAUGAAAGUUUGCAGUUUCAAGAGUAAAAUGAGUUAUUUCAUAUAAUAAGUCAUCAAACAAAUUAUAAUGUUCACAGGUAAAUUUGUUUUAUUAACAAGCUUCCUGUUUCUUCUAAAUGUUUUCCCAUUCUCAUCUUUAAUGAGAUAAUAUCUCUCAUUAUAUUUUUUCACUAUCUUUCCUUCAUUCCAAGAAUUGUUUUUUUAAAACAAAACAUUUUGAAUCAUUUACAAAGGUGGCAAAUUUUUUAGCGGUUUUAUUAUACUUCUUUUGAGUUGUUUCAGAAAUGUGCUCCAAGUUUUUAUGAGAUUUUUUUGUAUUAAUAAUUGUGGGAAGAAGUUUUUCUAAAGUAAUAGGAAGUUCCAUCUUCACAAGGCGAUUUAAAAAUAAUUGGAUGGGAGCAUAUGCUAACUAGAAUAAAAAUAUAUGCGAAAUUUUACACAAUGGUGUUUGUCGCACCAGCCCGAACUCCGCAGAGUAGCUCAAUAGGCGGUCAGAAGCCGUCUCAUAUAGUGGACCAACAUAUAUAGUAAUCCGAAGUAGUAAGCACUCGUCUUCGACUGCAACUAGUCACGCUGAAGACUUGGACACUCUCUUAACUCUUCAGCCUUUUGGUAAAUUAAUGAAAAACGAAGAUGAUAAAGUCAAGCCUGUCCUUAUUAUUUCGAACGAUGGCGGUCCCGAUGAGAA